rnacentral:rRNA from 1 species
GACGAACGCUGGCGGCGUGCUUAACACAUGCAAGUCGAACGGUAAGGCCCUUCGGGGUACACGAGUGGCGAACGGGUGAGUAACACGUGGGUGAUCUGCCCUGCACUUCGGGAUAAGCCUGGGAAACUGGGUCUAAUACCGGAUAGGACUCCUGGCUUCAUGGUUGGGGGUGGAAAGCUUUUGCGGUGUGGGAUGGGACCGCGGCCUAUCAGCUUGUGGGUGGGGUAAUGGCCUACCAAGGCGACGACGGGUAGCGGGCCUGAGAGUGUGACCGGUCACACUAGGACUGAGAUACGGCCCAGACUCCUACGGGAGGCAGCAGUGGGGAAUAUUGCACAAUGGGCGCAAGCCUGAUGCAGCGACGCCGCGUGAGGGAUGACGGCCUUCGGGUUGUAAACCUCUUUCAGCUAUGACGAAGCGCAAGUGACGGUAGUAGCAGAAGAAGGACCGGCCAACUACGUGCCAGCCGCCGCGGUAAUAC